ACGGCCCGGCCCAAGGACCCUCUCGGCCUGGCCCGAGAGACCGCGCCCGCGAGGAGGGAGCCUCCCGCCGCCGCCCCGCCCGCUCCUCCCGGCCGUUCCGGCCUCCGCUUUUGGGGAAAGGGAAGGCCCCCACCGCGAAGAGAGUCUGGCAACGCCGGACCGGGACCCCCGAGGGACCUCUUCCUCCCCGCCGCCCACCUCAGAAUUCCUUCCUCCCCGGCCCCUAGUGGGAGCUUAGGCCGGGAGUGACCCCUGAGAGGGAGGAGGAGCGGUGACUCCUGGAACAGCCCGCGGGCGGAGAGGGCUGCGCGAGGGCAGUGGCAGAGCCAUUGAAAACACACCACUCUAUUCAGAACCCCUCCAGAAACACUGAGUACGCGUGGAUACAAAGGAGAAAACCGAAGACACCUGGGCCUACUUGAGAGCGGAGGGUGGGAGGAGCGUGAGGAUCGAAAAACUACCUAUGGCUUACUACGCUUAUUACCUGGGUGACAAAAUAAUCUUUACACCAAACCCCCAUGACAUACAAUUAAUUUAUCCAUGCACAUGUACCCUCUGAACCAAAAAUAAAAGUUGGAAAGUAAAGGAAAAAAAAAAUCACCCUCCAGUGCUUCCCAUCUCACUCUGAAUAAAAUUUAUUUGAUCU
rnacentral:lncRNA from 1 species